UACGAAGGGGGCUAGCGUUGUUCGGAAUUACUGGGCGUAAAGCGCGCGCAGGCGGUCCUUCCAGUCAGAGGUGAAAGCCCAGAGCUCAACUCUGGAACUGCCUUUGAAACUAGAGGACUUGGGUACGGGAGAGGUGAGUGGAAUUCCGAGUGUAGAGGUGAAAUUCGUAGAUAUUCGGAAGAACACCAGUGGCGAAGGCGGCUCACUGGCCCGUUACCGACGCUCAGGCGCGACAGCGUGGGGAGCAAACAGG
rnacentral:rRNA from 2 species